CAUGCACCGGUGGGGUCCCUUGGCCUGGCCUGUGCCUCUCGGAUGUUGGAGAAUUGGUUUUGGCCUGAUCCCACAGGCCAGGCCGAGGGACCCCACUGGUGCACG
rnacentral:pre_miRNA from 1 species